GCCAGCAGCGGGACUGAGGUCUUGAGGAGCUGCCCUAAGAAAACCAUUCUCCUUUCUUCUUCCUCACCCUCAUCUUCUUCAUUCUCUUCAUCGUUUCUUCCACACACACAGCAUAAUGUUAACCAGUCAGAGAUAAACAAGUGUAAUGGUGCUGGUGAUGAAGAGAAUGAGAUCCAGGACCCUUCAAUCUAUUACAGGG